rnacentral:rRNA from 1 species
AACGAACGCUGGCGGCAGGCUUAACACAUGCAAGUCGAACGCGUGUAGCAAUACACGAGUGGCGCACGGGUGAGUAACGCGUGGAUAUCUGCCUUUUGGUUCGGAAUAACUCCGGGAAACUGGAGCUAAUACCGGAUGGUUCCUUCGGGAUAAAGAUUUAUCGCCAAAAGAUGAGUCCGCGUACGAUUAGCUAGUUGGUGAGGUAAUGGCCCACCAAGGCGACGAUCGUUAGCUGGUCUGAGAGGACGAUCAGCCACACUGGGACUGAGACACGGCCCAGACUCCUACGGGAGGCAGCAGUGGGGAAUAUUGGACAAUGGGGGCAACCCUGAUCCAGCCAUGCCGCGUGAGUGAUGAAGGCCUUCGGGUUGUAAAGCUCUUUUGGCGGGGACGAUGAUGACGGUACCCGCAGAAUAAGCCCCGGCUAACUACGUGCCAGCCGCCGCAGUAAAAC